GCCGCUGUAGCACAAUGGUAGUGCGUUGCUUUCCUAUAUAGAUAGCAGGCAAAGGUUGCGAGUUCGAUCCCCGUCAGCGGUU